CCUACGGGUGGCAGCAGUGAGGAAUAUUGGUCAAUGGGCGCGAGCCUGAACCAGCCAAGUAGCGUGAAGGAUGACUGCCCUACGGGUUGUAACCUUCUUUUAUAAAGGAAUAAAGUGAGGCACGUGUGCAUUUUUGUAUGUCCUUUAUGAAUAAGGAUCGGCGAACUCCGUGCCAGCAGCCGCGGUAAUACGGAGGCUCCGAGCGUUAUCCGGAUUUAUUGGGUGUAAAGGGAGAGUAGAUGGGUUGUUAAGUCAGUUGUGAACGUUUGCGGCUAAACCGUAAAAUUGCAAUUGAUACUGGCAGUCUAGAGUACAGUUGAGGUAGGCGGAAUUCGUGGUGUAGCGGUGAAAUGCUUAGAGAUCACGAAGAACUCCGAUUGCGAAGGCAGCUUACUAAACUGCCACUGACAUUGAUGCGCGAAAGUGUGGGUAGCAAACAGGAUUAGAUACCCUUGUAGUC
rnacentral:rRNA from 1 species